CAGUAGGGAGGAAGGUAGUGUAGUUAACACCUGCAUUAUUUGACGUUACCUACAGAAGAAGCACCGGCUAACUCCGUGCCAGCAGCCGCGGUAAUACGGAGGGUGCGAGCGUUAAUCGGAAUUACUGGGCGUAAAGCGCAUGCAGGCGGCCUGUUAAGUCAGAUGUGAAAGCCCGGGGCGUUAACCUCGGAAUUGCAUUUGUAAACUAGGCAGGCUAGAGUCUUGUAGAGGGGGGUAGGAAUUUCAGGUGUAGCGGUGAAAUGCGUAGAGAUCUGAAGGAAUACCAGUGGCGAAGGCGGCCCCCCUGGACAAAGACUGACGCUCAGAUGCGAAAGCGUGGGGAGCAAACAGGAUUAGAUACCCCUGGUAG
rnacentral:rRNA from 1 species